UGUACAUUCAGAUAUUCCUAUAAUCAUCUGUGGACUGUUGAUGGUGAUGUAAGUGGAUAGUGUGUGCAUGUGUGUCCGUGCAUGUGUGUACAUGUUCAUGUAUGCUGAUAGCAAGCACACCACGGGAGAUAGUGUUACAUUCAGGUACAGAGGUGCUGGUGGGCUCCAUAAAGAGUAGGAACCGUUUGUUUUAGUCUCUGUGUUCCUCUCUGUUCCCCCUGAGCCUCUCACAAGGCUCCCUAGAGAGACUAGACAUCACCAACACGGAGGAAGAGGAGAGGAGCUCGGGUCUAUCUGAGGGGCCAGCUUAUGAUAUGGUUCUAGAGUAUUUGGCUUGCCAGUACCCGAUAUCGUGAGAUAGACUGUGGAUGCCUGACAACCUGCAGCAGAGCCCCCCUGAACCCAGACAGUGAGUGGGAUCUGGGAGGUAGUGUGAGUUUGGCUUGUCUCCUGCUCCUCUGUUGUCAAGACCCAGUCCCAGAGCAUCAUAGACCCUCACCACAUCCCAGAGGACAGUGAGACCAGAGACAGACAGUGGGUUUGGGAGCUCUGAUCUGAGUCGCCCAGCCACAGGACGAUCCCAACCAAAACUUCAUACAGAAAGGCUCCAGUUCCAGUCUGAUGGGGCCUCCAGUCCUGUGAGAAUGAGUGACAGCGAAGGCUCCUGCUCCAACCUGCAGACCACUAUCCAUCUGACUGGGGAUAUUGGAGAGAGGAGACCCAGUCUGCAGACCACUAUCCAUCUGACUGGAGAUAUUGGAGAGAGGAGACCCAGUCUGCAGACUACUAUCCAUCUGACUGGGGAUAUUGGAGAGAGGAGACCCAGUCUGCAGACUACUGUCUAUCUGACUGGGGAUAUUGGAGAGAGGAGACCCAGUCUGCAGACCACUAUCCAUCUGACUGGGGAUAUUGGAGAGAGGAGACCCAGUCUGCAGACUACUAUCCAUCUGACUGGAGAUAUUGGAGAGAGGAGACCCAGUCUGCAGACCACUAUCCAUCUGACUGGGGAUAUUGGAGAGAGGAGACCCAGUCUGCAGACUACUGUCUAUCUGACUGGGGAUAUUGGAGAGAGGAGACCCAGUCUGCAGACCACUAUCCAUCUGACUGGAGAUAUUGGAGAGAGGAGACCCAGUCUGCAGAUGCCUCCUCAGUUGUGCAGGACUGCAGUGGACUACUGGCUGACCAGACC